GACGAACGCCGGCGGCGUGCUUAACACAUGCAAGUCGAACGGAAAGGCCCUGCUUUUGUGGAGUGCUCGAGUGGCGAACGGGUGAGUAACACGUGAGUAACCUGCCCUUGACUUUGGGAUAACUUCAGGAAACUGGGGCUAAUACCGGAUAGGAGCUCCUGCUGCAUGGUGGGGGUUGGAAAGUUUCGGCGGUUGGGGAUGGACUCGCGGCUUAUCAGCUUGUUGGUGGGGUAGUGGCUUACCAAGGCUUUGACGGGUAGCCGGCCUGAGAGGGUGACCGGCCACAUUGGGACUGAGAUACGGCCCAGACUCCUACGGGAGGCAGCAGUGGGGAAUAUUGCACAAUGGGCGGAAGCCUGAUGCAGCAACGCCGCGUGCGGGAUGACGGCCUUCGGGUUGUAAACCGCUUUCGCCUGUGACGAAGCGUGAGUGACGGUAAUGGGUAAAGAAGCACCGGCUAACUACGUG
rnacentral:rRNA from 1 species